AAAGAAAAUAACAAUGAUUCCCCUAGUAACGGCGAGCGAAGAGGGAAUAGCUCAAAUUUUAAAUCUGUUGGGUCUUACCUAACCGAGUUGUAAUUUGAAGAAACGUUUUCUGCGUGUUUGAUUUAGCCCAAAUCCUUUGGGAUAAGGUAUCAUGGAGGGUGAGAAUCCCGUCCGGCCUAAUCAAAUGUGCUUUACGAUACGUUUUCUAAGAGUCGAGUUGUUUGGGAUUGCAGCUCAAAAUGGGAGGUAAAUUUCUCCUAAGGCUAAAUAUAGGCGAGAGACCGAUAGCGAACAAGUACCGUGAGGGAAAGAUGAAAAGAACUUUGAAAAGAGAGUUAAACAGUACGUGAAAUUGUUGAAAGGGAAACGAUUAAAGUCAGUCGUACUAACGGGGAAUCAACCUUUUGAGGGUGGAAUUGUGGGAUUCAGAGUGCCUUUGUCUUUCACGACCUGCUUUUUUUGGGUGCACUUUCUCGUAUUGUAGGUCAGCAUCGGUUUCGACCGUUAUAAAAUGACUGGAGGAAUGUAGCUUCGAUCUCGUAUUGAAGUGUUAUAGCCUUUGGUAGAUGUAACGGAUGGGAUCGAGGAUUGCAAUGAAUACCCUCAUGGGCUAUCCGCCUGGCCUCUGACAUGUCACUCUGGUGCCGAAAGCUUGCUUAUGGUAUUAUAGUGUACGGUCAAAAGGUUAGAACGGAUUAAAUU
rnacentral:rRNA from 1 species